ACUCGCGGUUCCGAACUCUAGUGACUAGUCGCGAAACUGCUGGGGGGAGGGGUGCGAACCGAAGACAUUUAGUUUCAAUAUCGCCAACUUCGGGUGAAAUCGUGCGUGAUCGGAGUGCGUUCGGAAAGAAGUGAAGUUCGUCUCUAAUUGAGACAUCGAAGUGUAUACGAAUUGUGCGUAGUACGUCCUGGGAAUCAAGCCGUGAAAUGUCAUUAGAUAGUAUAUGCGUAUGUAAACGAACAUGGUAAACGAAUAGUUGCGUGUGCACGGUGUAAAUGUGUUUACGUUCUAUCGGAGCCUUUGUGAUCGGUUAGAUACGACAGGAAACCUCUCGGUAUUUUGAUCGCGAAUGCGUCGCGUCGUAUGCGUAUUUGUGUUCACGCGUCUACGUUGUCCUGUUUGGAGGCCAUUUUGUGAUUGUUCGCGGUUACAUCACCGGGAGAUAAAUCAUCAUUUCGACGCAUCAAGGGAAGGCUGUUGGCGAACAAACUCGAUCCCGGAUUCCCCCUCUCUCUCUCUCUCUACGUUAUAAUUCGCAAGGAUUUUCACCGUUGGGUGUUUCCACGUGGCCAGCCAGACGGAGACGCGUUCGUUAAGCCUGCAACGCAAUUGUUCCGGGCAACUGUGACCGAGGAAGAGGAGGAUCCGCACGCAGGCUACCCGGGUGACCAUGUGGUGCGAGUCACAUCAGAAGACUGCUUUACCCGAAAUUUACGACUGUCCUGGUAACAACCGGAAGCUUUCCAGCUUCGCAUAACCAGCCUCUUUCCCUUUCUCAACAGCGAGAAAGUCGCGCGAUCGUUUACGGGUCUCGGAACGUAAAUAGUUACCGUUUCGGUCGUCGUAACCUUGCUCGUUUCGUUCCGCGUCUCUAAAUCACCUUCAAUCGAGCACGGCUACCGUGUCCGUAGCAGUCGGUGUUGUACUUCUGAACGGUGAUUACGAGCUGUGCGAUUGUCGCGAAUAAAGGAGCACCCAUGGCUUCACCACCUGCAGCGAUGGUCAUUUUCUACAGGUCUUCCUGCUGGAAUUCUGGUUCAUCAACGAGAGUACAGGGGGAAACGGAGUUGCCGGUGAAAAGAGUUUUGAACGGUGGCCAAGGACCAAGGCGAGAAAUGUAAUUAUGACGCUGCGGAAAAGUGUCCCUAAUUGUCGAAUCCGCGGAGCAGCCUAAUUGCUGGAACUUGGUGACCCUCCAGAAGGUGCUUAAAGGUGAGUCGCUUUUGCGUUGCGAUCUAAUUUUCUUGUUGAAACGAGCCACGAAUAUUUACGUUUCGUUAGCGAAUCCUGCCGCUCGGAAUCGUGUUAUCGCAAAUAUAUUUUUCAAAUUAUUUUAAUCCAAGCGUUUAUGUUUGCGCAUUACGCUGCGGUAUCGUGCACACAUUCCGAAUCGUACGAUAACCGAGGGGAAUUGUGUGCAUAAAACUGAUAAUUAUUAUGCAGUAUCGAAAAAACAAUUUUCUGUAUUCGUAUCAAUUAUCUUUUAUUAAAUUUCUCAAAACUAUCCGAGUAACUCAUACACAGACAGUACCGUCGCUAAAAGAUGAAUAAUAACAGAUCGGUCUUAAAGAUGAGACUAAUAAUAGCAGAAACGGUGUCCCUGAAACUUCUGAAUGCUCUUAACCAAGCACCAUGAAAUUUACCCGGGAUAGAACUCAUCCGAGCGAUAAUUAAAGCCUCGGUUGAACGACGUUAUUAAAGUUCACGGUCUCGAGCAUAAAGUCAGAAACUUCGGUACCGAUUACAGUCCCGAAGCACGAGCUUUUCCUCGAGCAUCCUCGGAUUCUUCAACCUCGAUUGGACGUUGCGUCGGUUCGGUAACGAGCGAAGUGACGAUACCGCUUCCGGUAUUUCGGUGGUUUCCUCCGUUCACGGUUUCUUAAAGUACGAAGCUUUGUCGCAACGUCCUCGGUGCCUCUAUCAGAGAUCCAGAGGCACGAAAGACGAGAGGAGACUGCAAGACCUUCAGCAGAUUCACCGGAAGCUUGUCGUAAUACCGCUAUUAAAAUGCAAUCCCACAUCUUACCCGAACGAAGAGAUUCUCUGCUCUCUUCUCAACCCUCUCUCUCUCUUUGUUUCUGUAGCUGUUCACGAUGUCCCGGCGUUGUAAGACGCGGCUUGUACCAUGGCCGACUCGCGUUUCAUCGUGUUUCUCGUUUUAUUCAUUAAAUAACCGUGGCGUCGGUUCCGGGCAACGUGCCGGGGUAAGUUCUAAACGGCUCUUCCGGCGAAUGCAAAUGCGCGUCCGCCUGUAAGCGGAACGCGGUAAUUAAAAGGCCGCGCGAGGACAAGUUUCCCGAUGACUUCGCGCGGUACGCUUCGCCUCUUGCCGCCCUUUUCUCCCCUUCAAUCUUCUCGUUGUUUAAUGAUGGGCAGGUACGUAUCCAUCGGAACGUAUUAAUAUAAAUAACGCGAUAGGAAAAAAUAUUUCUAAUUACCGUAACGGAUUCACGGGGAAUAGAAGAGUGCGAGAAGCAGGGAAACGUUUGGUGUGCCAUUUCGUUCAAGUGGCAACUGUCUGAAGCGCGUUGUAGCGAAAGGGUUAAUGGGACUUUUUGAAAGUCCCCCGGCCGCGGUUUCUGUUUGAACGCGUCGGU